ensembl:lncRNA
GCCCCAGCAAGCCAGUGACUCAGCCCCUGUAAUAGGGUUAGAGGCAGAGAAUCCCAGUGGAAAGAGGGGAACCGGCCAGGCAGAGACAGCAAGGGCGGUUCGUUGCUCCAGAGCCUUUCCGUUCACCUUCCCACUCCUGGGCCAGACUACACUCAAUCAUAUGACCCACUGAAGAGAUGAGUCUUCAGUAAAGACUUAAAGGUUGAGACCGAGUUUGCGUCUCUGACAUGGGUAGGCAGACCGUUCCAUAAAAAUGGAGCUCUAUAGGAGAAAGCCCUGCCUCCAGCUGUUUGCUUAGAAAUUCUAGGGACAAUGAGGAGGCCUGCGUCUUGUGACCGUAGCGUAUGUGUAGGUAUGUACGGCAGGACUAAAUCAGAAAGAUAGGUAGGAGCAAGCCCAUGUAAUGCUUUGUAGGUUAGCAGUAAAACCUUGAAAUCAGC